rnacentral:rRNA from 1 species
GAGAACGCUGGCGGCGUGCUUAACACAUGCAAGUCGAGCGGGGAGAUUGCCUUCGGGUGAUCUUCUAGCGGCGACGGGUGAGUAACGCGUGAGCAACCUUUCCUCUACUGGGGGAAUAACACCGGGAAACUGGUACUAAUACCGCAUGAGACCACAGAGUCGCAUGGCUUAGGGGUCAAAGAUUUAUUGGUAGAGGGUGGGCUCGCGUCUGAUUAGGGUAGUUGGGUGAGGUAACGGCCCACCAAGCCGACGAUCAGUAGCCGACCUGAGAGGGUGAUCGGCCACAUUGGGACUGAGACACGGCCCAAACUCCUACGGGAGGCAGCAGUGGGGAAUAUUGGGCAAUGGGGGAAACCCUGACCCAGCAACGCCGCGUGGAGGAAGAAGGUUUUCGGAUCGUAAACUCCUGUCCUCAGGGAAGAGCAGAAGACGGUACCUGAGGAGGAAGCCCCGGCUAACUACGUG